rnacentral:tRNA from 1 species
GGGCGGUUAGCUCAGUUGGUUAGAGCGCUACCUUGACACGGUAGAGGUCACUGGUUCGAGUCCAGUAUCGCCCACCA